rnacentral:rRNA from 1 species
AGUGAACGCUGGCGGUAGGCUUAACACAUGCAAGUCGAACGGCAGCACAGUAAGAGCUUGCUCUUACGGGUGGCGAGUGGCGUACGGGUGAGGAAUAUAUCCGAAUCUACUUUUUCGGGUGGGAUAACGUAGGUAAACUUACGCUAAUACCGCAUACGACCUGCGGGUGAAAGCAGUGGAUCUUCGCACCUUGCGCGAAUGAAUGAGCCGAUGUCGGAGUGGCUAGUUGGCGGGGUAAAGGCCCACCAAGGGGGCGAUCCGUAGCUGGUGUGAGUGGCUGGUCACCGACAUUGGAACUGAGACGCGGACCAUGGUACUACGGGAGGGAGCAGAGGGGAAUAUUGGGCAGCGGUCGCAAGCCUUGUCCAGCCAUACCGAGUGGGUGGAGGAGGCCUUGCGGUUGUAAAGCCCUUUUGUUGGGAAAGAAAAGCAGCAGGUUAAUACCCCGCUGUUCUGACGGUACCCAGUAAAUAAGCACCGGCUAACUUCGUG